CAAUGCAAUCGCAUACAAAACUCAACCCACUCGCAGGCAAAAUAGCACGAUUUUACAGCGACGCACCCGCAUCCUAUCCGUCCCUUACACGCGACGCCCGUGUGAAAGAGGCCUAAGGGUUAAGAGGGGUUGUAACCAGG